GUUUUAGUGCACAAUUUUGUGUGCAAAGAAAUAGCAUUGUUUUAAGGAAAUUUUUUGGGAAAUGGAAAUGUGGCAUACGUUUAGCGCACCAAAAGAAUACGAAGUCCACUUCCAAGGUUUGGCUGCCACAUUAAACAGCUAGGUUUCUUUGAUGUUCCUGGUCUGAAUUAACCAGACAAUACUCUCCAGCUUUACGUCAGGGAAAGCUGGCAUAUGUGGUGUGCCUCCGAUCAUUUGAAUGGGAUUACUGGCCUUGAAAAGUAAAGGUUAAUACAGAGUGGCCGGUCACAGAACAAACAUUCACAAGAUAUU